GACAGAGGGUGCAAACGUUGCUCGGAAUUACUGGGCGUAAAGCGCGUGUAGGUGGUGUGGCAAGUCGGACGUGAAAGCCCGGGGCUCAACCCCGGAAGUGCAUUCGAUACUACCACGCUGGAGUACUGAAGAGGAGAGCGGAAUUCCCGGUGUAGAGGUGAAAUUCGUAGAUAUCGGGAGGAACACCGGUGGCGAAGGCGGCAUCCUGGACCGAGAUUGACGCUGAUGCGCGAAAGCCAGGGGAGCAAACGGG
rnacentral:rRNA from 1 species